AAAUGGGCCACACAUUGUCACGCUACUAUGAAAUCCACUAAGAUAUCAUUAAAAGACCUUUUAAACAAAAAGCAUCUUCACGAAGCUGAGGAGGAAAAGCCUGCCGAAGGUGGAGAAGAUAAAGGCGAAGAAGGAGGAGAAGAAGAAAAUCCUUUUGCCGCUGCAGAAGAAGAGGGAGGGGAUAAAGGUGAAGAAGGCGGAGGAGAAGAAAACAACCGUGAUUGCGCAAGUAGUGGCGAGCGAACGCGCAGAAGCCCAAACCAGAGUUGUUACGGCAAUUUUGGGGUUAUAGGACUGUAACAUUGACUUAUAGUUUAUAGUGGAAGUGAUUUGGAAAAGUCCACGAUAGAGGGUGAAAGUCCCGUACACGAAAUAGACUAUAUACAUAGCAGUAUCCUGAGUACUGCGGGGUCGGAGACGCCCUGUAGGAAUUUGGCGGCACCAUCCGCUAAGGCUAAAUACUCCUGAGAGACCGAUAGCGAACUAGUACUGUGAAGGAAAGGUGAAAAGAACCGCGAACAGCGGAGUGAAAAAGAACCUGAAACCGUACGCUUACAAGCGGUCGGAGCCCUUACGUGGGGUGACGGCGUGCCUUUUGCAUAAUGAACCUACGAGUUGCACUUCACUAGCGAGGUUAAGGGCUUAAGGUCCGUUAACCGCAGCGAAAGCGAGUCUGAAUAGGGCGCACAGUUAGUGGAGGCAGACGCGAAACCUUGUGAUCUACCCUUGGCCAGGAUGAAGUGGUGGUAACACACCAUGGAGGUCCGAACCGAUAAGCGUUGAAAAGCUUCCGGAUGAGCUGAGGGUAGGGGUGAAAGGCUAAUCAAACUGGGAAAUAGCUCGUACUCCCCGAAAUGCCUUUAGGGGCAGCGUGGAGGUUAAGUCUUAUGGAGGUAGAGCUACUGAUUGGAUGCGGGGGAAGCGAUUCCUACCAAGUCCUGACAAACUCCGAAUGCCAUAAGAUAUACUCUGCAGUGAGCCCACGGGUGCUAAGGUCCGUGGACGAGAGAGGGAGAACUCAGACCAUCAGCUAAGGCCCCCAAAUCUAUGCUAAGUUGAUCUAACGAAGUUGGGUCGCAUUGACAGCCAGGAUGUUUGCUUGGAAGCAGCCAUUCAUUUAAAGAGUGCGUAACAGCUCACUGGUCGAGCGAUCCGGCGUGGAUGAUACUCGGGCAUCAAGCAUAGUGCCGAAGCUAUGGACUCAGCAAUGAGUGGUAGGGGAGCAUUCUAACAACAUAGAAGGAGUACUGUAAAGGCUACUGGAGUGGUUAGAAAAGCAAAUGUAGGUAUAAGUAACGAUAAGGCAGGCGAGAAACCUGCCCGCCGAUAGACUAAGGUUUCCUGAACAACGCUAAUCGGUUCAGGGUCAGUCGGGACCUAAGGCGAAGCCGAACGGCGUAGUCGAUGGACAACUGGUUAAUAUUCCAGUACUUGCUCUACUGUGAUGGGGAGACGAAGAAAUGAAAGUGCUGCGUACUGACGGAAUAGUACGUUGAAGAGUGUAGGUAAAAGAUUUGUAGGUAAAUCCGCAGAUUUUGCUGAAACUUGAUAGUACCUUGAGUCGCAAGACAAGAGGAUAUGCACCUAAAUCAGCUUCCAAGAAAAUCCUCUAAACUUCAGGUAGAAGCAACCCGUACCGCAAACCGACACAGGUAGUCAAGGAGAGAAUCCUGAGGCGCUCGAGUGAACCGUGGUUAAGGAACUAGGCAAAUUGACCCUGUAACUUCGGGAUAAAGGGUGCCCGCAGUAAUGCGGGCCGCAGUGAAAUGGCGGUGGCGACUGUUUAACAAAAACACAUGGCUUUGCGAAAACGAAAGUUGAAGUAUAAGGCCUGACACCUGCCCGGUGCCGGAAGGUUAAGAGGAGAUGUCAUCGCAAGAGAAGCAUUGAAUUGAAGCCCCGGUAAACGGCGGCCGUAACUAUAACGGUCCUAAGGUAGCGAAAUUCCUUGUCGGGUAAGUUCCGACCUGCACGAAUGGUGUAACGAUCUCCGCACUGUCUCAACCACGAGCUCGGUGAAAUUGUGGUAUCAGUGAAGACGCUGAUUACCCGUCACGGGACGGAAAGACCCCAUGCACCUUCACUAUAGUUUAACAUUGACGCUGGAUAAUUGAUGUGUAGAAUAGGUGGGAGGCUAUGAAGCAGCGGCGCCAGCCGUUGUGGAGCCAACGUUGAAAUACCACCCUUUAAUUAUUUGGCGUCUAACUCCGCAGGGAGGACAUUGUUUGAUGGGUAGUUUGACUGGGGUGGUCGCCUCCGAAAGAGUAUCGGAGGCUUUCAAAGGUUCGCUCAGUACGCUUGGUAACCGUACGUAGAGUGCAAUAGCAUAAGCGAGCUUGACUGUGAGGCCGACAAGCCAAGCAGGUACGAAAGUAGGAUAUAGUGAUCCGG
rnacentral:rRNA from 1 species